rnacentral:rRNA from 1 species
GACGAACGCUGGCGGCGUGCUUAACACAUGCAAGUCGAACGGAAAGGCCCUGUUCUUGUGGGGUGCUCGAGUGGCGAACGGGUGAGUAACACGUGAGUAACCUGCCCUUUACUUUGGGAUAACUUCAGGAAACUGGGGUUAAUACCGGACAGGAGAACCUUCUGCAUGGUGGGGAUUGGAAAGUUUCGGCGGUUGGGGAAGGACUCGAGGCAUAUCAGCUUGUUGGUGAGGUUGUGGCUUACAAAGGCGUUGACGAGUGGCCGGCUUGGGAGGGUGACAGGCCACAUUGGGACACGGGUGCGGGCAGGACGGCUACGGGAGGCAGCGGUGGGAGAUAUUGCAAGAUGGGCGGAGUGCGGAUGCAGGAACUCCGCGUGCGAGAUGACUGCCUGCGGGUAGUAAAGCGCGUUAGCCUGGGACGAUGCGUAAGUGACGGUAAUGAGUAAGGAAGCAACGGCUAACUACGUG